CCUACGGGUGGCAGCAGUAGGGAAUCUUUCACAAUGGGCGAAAGCCUGAUGGAGCAACGCCGCGUGCAGGAUGAAGGCCUUCGGGUUGUAAACUGCUUUUAUAAGCGAGAAAUAUGAUGGUAACUUAUGAAUAAGGAUCGGCUAACUACGUGCCAGCAGCCGCGGUCAUACGUAGGAUGCGAGCGUUAUCCGGAGUUAUUGGGUUUAAAGGGUGCGUAGGCGGUUUUUUAAGUUAGUGGUUAAACGGCGGGGCUUCACCUUGAUCUGCUAUUAAUACUGUAAGACUCGAGUUCAGCCGAGGUAGGCGGAAUAAGUUAAGUAGCGGUGAAAUGCUUAGAUAUAACUUAGAACUCCGAUAGCGAAGGCAGCUUACCAGACUGCGACUGACGCUGAAGCACGAGAGCGUGGGGAGCGAACAGGAUUAGAUACCCGGGUAGUC
rnacentral:rRNA from 1 species